rnacentral:sRNA from 1 species
GAAGCCAACACAAGGGUACUAUAGAACCCUCAGCUUGGUAAGGAAGUCUGCACAGAAGUCCAGGAAAAGGAGCUGAGGCCCCGUAACUCUCUGCAUAUCCAGCAGAUACUUCUCGUCUCUGGUCUUGUAAAGCUGAAGAAAAGAAACGGAAUCAGCAAUUCUACAGCCAGAUAUACAACAUAUAUAUAAUACAUACCAAAUACAACAGCUACAACAUUCGAAUGAUACUAUACUAGGCUAAAAUCCCAACGCUCCAUCUGCAUUUCAUGUUGUACUGUCCAUUCUUCUUCCAGGAGACAUUUAAGUCUUGAAGUGCCUUUAGGACCUCAAUCAUUAUCUCGCGAGGUUGAGCUCGUGACUGUUGGAUAAUUGAUAUGUCAGUACAAAUUUCGGUGUGUUACAAAAGAAGUAAAAAGGAACAUCAUGCAAAACCUGAAGUCCAAGAGCCCAUUUUCUUUCAACAGGAUAAUAUGCUGUAAAUUUGAACUAACCAAAGAUUCUUGAUAGUCUGCUCCCAAAUAGCCACUGGUAGCUCGGAAUCGAUUGUCCAAGAGUAAAUAAUAUGCAACAGUUGCCUAGAAAAUGUAUAUCUCAAGAAAAUUACAUUAGUAGAUAAAAUUUGAUACAUAAAUGAACAACUCGUUAAGAAUGUGACACAAAGGAAGUACCAUUUUGGCUUGCUGUGCUGUGUCUGGUGGAGGCACUGCUAAGUAACGAGGAAGGCGAAUCUGAAACCACUGAUGCUCUCGAAUUUCACGAAUUGUGAUUCUCUUCAUUGGAUCAACAACAAGCAUCCUUGGGAUCAAAUCUCUGGCCAGAGCAGAUAAAUGACUUGGGAGAGUAUAUAUACCACCCUGGAACACCAAACAAACAGGUUGGGGAUAUUCUCAUCAUCAAAUGGAAGAGUACCACAAAGGAGAGCAUAAAGGAUCACUCCACAGCUCCAUACAUCAACCUCAGGUCCAGCAUAUAAUUUACCAGAGAUCACCUGCAGGAGCAGCAUAGUUUGGACUCCCACAGCUUGUCUUCAAAAAAUGGCCAUCAUGCAUGACGUUACUCAAACCAAAGUCAGCAAGCUUUACAUUAUACUUUGAAUCCAGUAGCAAGUUUUCUGGCUUCAGAUCACGAUGAACCACCAUGUUUCUGUGGCAGUAUUCAACCCCAGAUAUAAUCUUACCUGCUGGAAGAUUCGGCGAGCCUCAUCUUCCUGCAACCUGCCUUUCUCAACAAUGUAAUCAAACAGUUCUCCAAACUUGCAGUACUCCAUCACAACAUAUAUAUCCGUAGGAGUGUAUAUAACCUCAUAAAGGCGAAUGAUAUGGGGAUGAAUGAACAAUCUCAGUAUCUUGAUUUCUCUCUUUGCUGUUACCUUUCUCCUCCAUUUCCAUAUUUCUCAUUUGGCGGCGGUUCAGGAUCUUUAUAGCAACUCUGUGUCCUGUAAGCUUAUGCUCUGCAAUCUUCACUUUUCCAAAUGAGCCAAUACCUAAAGUUCUUCCAAGAUUGUA